rnacentral:lncRNA from 10 species
GGAAGAGCUGGGGCAGAGAGAGAAACAACAGCUUCUUUGUCUGGUUCUCUCAGAAGCCAACUCUGAGGCAAGGAUUCCUAGGAAAGACUAUCUUAAGAGUGAGAGGUGGAAUUUUAUUAUCUAUGGUGAGUAAGUAGAGUUUUGUCCUGCUGGGAGCCUCCAGAAGGCAGUGUGACCCACCUUGGUGUUCUCUCACCUGAGAGUCCAGGGGCUAGGGUGUUUACCCACCUCACCGUCCUCUUGGUUGAGGACUGCUUUCAGGGGCAAUAACACUGCUGCUUCCAACCUGCCCUCUGCACAGAAGAGUAGGCUCCCAAGGCCAGAACAACAUCUAGAAGCAGGGAGUCACAGGUGUGCACAGUAAGCAGGCUUGAGUAUGAGAGUGGACAGAAUAUGGGCGAGAUGCUUACGGUUUCAGUUCACGAUGCCUCAUCACACUUUACUGCAAGUUCUUACAGUAAACCCUCUGCAGCAAAGACAACUGUUUUCUGUAAAGGGCCAGAGGAUCAAUACUUUGUCUUUUGUGGGAAAUAUGGUCUUUGUCAAAGCUAUUCAUCCUAUACCCAUAUAGUGCAAAAGCAGCCAUAGACAAUAUGUAAAGAAAUGGGUGUGACUGUGUUUCGAUAAAACUUUAUUUACAAAAACAAGCUCUGGGCCAGACAUAGCUGGACAUGUCUAAACCCUAAUCUAAGCCUGGGAUUAUAUUUGCUUAAAACUUGGGUGCCAGCUCUUAUCAGCUGACCGUGACUUCCAGGAGGAAGGAAUCUUCCUAGUGACUGAGUCCUGUCUUCUUCCUUCAAUGAGAAAGACAGCUGUGAUUGAUUAGUGAUGUCUGCCUUGGCCCAGGAUGGGAGACAACAGUACCUAUACUGCACAUUGUACAUCCCUGACCUCAGGAAACCUCAGCAGUCAGAAGGAGUUCAAGCAAUGUGGGACUGCUCUAUUUGCUCCCUUGACUGUGAGUGAUUUAAAGAUACUGGGUCUUGCUCCUUCACCCAAACUGGAGUGCAGUGGCACGAUCGAUCACAGCUCACCGCAGCCUUGAACUCCUAGGGCUGACACCAUCCUCCCGCCUGAGCCUCCUGAGUGGCUGGAACUACAGGAGUGCACCACCAUGCACCUAAUUGGUAUUUUAAAUGAUAACAACCACACGAAUAAUAUUAACAAUAAUGAUGAUGGUGAUAAUGACAGCUGCCACUUAUAUCCAUGGGCCAAGCAUUGUGCCACGCAUUUUGCUUACAUCUUCACACAAAAUCUACCAGGGAGGGAGUGUCUUUAACUGUCAUUUUACAGAUGGGGAAACUGAGGCUCUUAUGGGGAAGCCACUGGCCUGAGGUCAAGCACUGGAAUGUGACUGAGCCAAAAUGUGGCAGCAGAUCUGACUAUCGGCCUUUGUGGUUCACGAUUAUUGCCUCCAUUACAGUGCUGCCUGUGUGCUGGUUCUCGCAUGACAGGGAGGGUUGUGAGUAGACAGAGGGGUUGCAGCAGGACUGGCCCCUACCGUGUCAAAAGGGACAGGUCACAGGCUGAGCAGGAUGGGGCGGCAGGGGCAGGCUGCCUCCCCACACGCAGAGGUCCCACCCCAGCUCCCUACCAGCAGCAGACUGGGAGCCCUAGUGUGCCCAGCGCCCCCAUGAUUGGCAGCCUGCAGAUGGCAGGGGUGCCUUGGAAUUUAUUAUCCAAGCAUGCCUUUCCGAGGGGGCCUCACUGCCUGACACUGCUUUAUCGGAAAGCUGGGAAUGGUUAGCUGAGCCCAUCUGUUAGCCAAAGAGGGGAACUCAGUGGGUGGGGAAGUCUGUGGAGUCAUUUAAAAGGAAUUUCUCUGAUGCUGAGGCCAGGGCAGAAGGUUAUCUGCCCGUGGGCCGUUGGGCUGCCUGGUUUGGGGUAUUGGGGGCUUGGGGGUGGUGUGUGUGUGUUUGGUGGGGGACUCUCGUUGCUUGUUCUAAACCAAAAAUUGCUAGAGCCCUUCCCCCUUCUGAACAACAAUUUGAACUCUGCAGUGCUCUUUCAUUGCUGAAACCACCACAUUAGCAUCGUCAGUGUCUUGGUGACGAAUCUAGGACAGAUGGGGAUAAAUGCAGUGAUCUGAAUUAAUACUGGGGUGGCUAAUGAAUCCAGGAGCCAGGAAAUAAUUAGGAGAAGUUACUGCUCCUGACAUGGCAAAUAGAAGCUGUGUGUUAGAUGCCUUCUUCUCUCUCCCCUCCCACCAACCAAGAUGCCCCGGAAGACAGCUGUGCAGCCACCUGGGGUGGGGGACACUUGGAUGUCAGGACUUGAUCUUGGGUGAGGAUUCUGGGACAUUUAUGACAGAGGCUGGUGAACAGCAGGUGGAGACAGGAGAAUGGCGGUUCUUCCAUUGUAUAUCAAAGGUUCUUCUGUGCUUGGAAAAAGCACUGGACUGGGAGCCCAGAGGCCUGGGUUCAAGUGCAGGCUCCUACUGGAUCAUCCUAAGGCAUGUGGUUCCCUCCUCCAAUGCUCAAUGAAAGUAGAGCAUGAUCGAGGGUAGCAUGCACUGUUUGCUGCCCAGGGGCAGGCCCAUGCUAAAUGAUUUGCAUAGGGCUCUCAUUUAAUCUUCCCCCACAGCUCUAGUACUCUGUUUGUUCUCACUCUACCAAGUCCAAUUGUUUCAAUAGCUCAUUCAAGGGCAUGCAGUUGAUAGCAGAGCUGGAUUCAAACCCAGAAAUCAACUCAAAGGUCUGAGCCCUUGACCAUACCAUGUCACUGCCUUUUGCCACCAAGAGCCAGAUAAUCAUUGAUGUUUCUUCCAACACUGACAUAUUUUUAGGCCUUCAUGAUUCUUGUAGAUAUCUUGUAGAUAUCUGCUUUGCAAUAUGGGGAGUGAAAGGGAGUUGAGCUAUGCUUUUGUAAUUGGGUGUCUGAAAAGGCUGGGCCCCUAUUAUAUAUGAUCAUACGCUUUAUUCUUCCUUUCUAAAACUUAGCAUGUUUGCAAUUGAAUAAUUAAGUGUUUAUUGUUUAAUGGUUAUCUACCCUGCUAGACUGAGGCUCC